rnacentral:rRNA from 1 species
CCUACGGGGUGCUGCAGUGGGGAAUAUUGGACAAUGGGCGAAAGCCUGAUCCAGCCAUGCCGCGUGUGUGAAAAAGGCCUUCGGGUUGUAAAGCACUUUCAGUGGGGAAGAAAGCCUUGGGGCUAAUACCCUCGAGGAAGGACAUCACCCACAGAAGAAGCACCGGCUAACUCCGUGCCAGCAGCCGCGGUAAUACGGAGGGUGCGAGCGUUAAUCGGAAUUACUGGGCGUAAAGCGCGCGUAGGCGGUCUGAUAAGCCGGUUGUGAAAGCCCCGGGCUCAACCUGGGAACGGCAUCCGGAACUGUCAGGCUAGAGUGCAGGAGAGGAAGGUAGAAUUCCCGGUGUAGCGGUGAAAUGCGUAGAGAUCGGGAGGAAUACCAGUGGCGAAGGCGGCCUUCUGGACUGACACUGACGCUGAGGUGCGAAAGCGUGGGUAGCAAACAGGAUUAGAUACCCCAGUAGUC